rnacentral:rRNA from 1 species
UACGGAGGGUGCAAGCGUUAAUCGGAAUUACUGGGCGUAAAGCGUGCGCAGGCGGUUUGUUAAGUCUGUUGUGAAAUCCCCGAGCUCAACUUGGGAAUUGCAAUGGAUACUGGCAGGCUGGAGUAUGGUAGAGGAAGGUGGAAUUCCCGGUGUAGCAGUGAAAUGCGUAGAGAUCGGGAGGAACACCAGUGGCGAAGGCGGCCUUCUGGACCAAUACUGACGCUGAGGCGCGAAAGCGUGGGGAGCAAACAGG